GAUGAACGCUGGCGGCGUGCCUAAUACAUGCAAGUCGAGCGAACAGACGAGGAGCUUGCUCCUCUGACGGUAGCGACGGAGGGGUGAGUAACACGUGGAUAACCUACCUAUCAGACUGGGAUAACUUCGGGAAACCGGAGCUAAUACCGGGUAAUAUAUUGAACCGCAUGGUUCAAUAGUGAAAGACGGUUUUGCUGUCACUUUUAGAUGGAUCCGCGCCGCAUUAGCUAGUUUGUAAGGUAACGGCAUACCAAGGCAGCGAUGCGUAGCCGACCUGAGAGGGUGAACGGCCACCCGGGAUGAGAGACACGGUCCACACUCUGACGGUGAGAAGCAGCAGAGACUCUUCCGCAAUGGGGGAAAGCGUAACGGAGCACAGCCGCGUGAAUGAUGAAGGUCUUCGGACGGUAAAACGAUGUUAGUAGGGAAGUACAAAUGCGUAAGUAACCAUGCACGUAUUGACGGUACCGGAUGAGAAAGCCCCGGCUAACUACGUG
rnacentral:rRNA from 1 species